CCUACGGGAGGCAGCAGUGAGGAAUAUUGGUCAAUGGACGAGAGUCUGAACCAGCCAAGUAGCGUGAAGGAUGACUGCCCUAUGGGUUGUAAACUUCUUUUAUAUGGGAAUAAAACAGGGUAUGCAUACCCUCUUGUAUGUACCAUAUGAAUAAGGAUCGGCUAACUCCGUGCCAGCAGCCGCGGUAAUACGGAGGAUCCGAGCGUUAUCCGGAUUUAUUGGGUUUAAAGGGAGCGUAGGUGGAUUGUUAAGUCAGUUGUGAAAGUUUGCGGCUCAACCGUAAAAUUGCAGUUGAAACUGGCAGUCUUGAGUACAGUAGAGGUGGGCGGAAUUCGUGGUGUAGCGGUGAAAGGCUUAGAUAUCACGAAGAACUCCGAUUGCGAAGGCAGCUCACUGGACUGCAACUGACACUGAUGCUCGAAAGUGUGGGUAUCAAACAGGAUUAGAUACUCGAGUAGUC
rnacentral:rRNA from 1 species